rnacentral:rRNA from 1 species
AACGAACGCUGGCGGCAUGCCUAACACAUGCAAGUCGAACGAAACCUUCGGGUCUUGUGGCGCACGGGUGCGUAACGCGUGGGAACCUGCCCUUAGGUUCGGAAUAACUCCCCGAAAGGGAUGCUAAUACCGGAUAGUGUCUUCGGACCAAAGAUUUAUCGCCUUUGGAUGGGCCCGCGUUGGAUUAGCUAGUUGGUAGGGUAAAAGCCUACCAAGGCGACGAUCCAUAGCUGGUCUGAGAGGAUGAUCAGCCACACUGGGACUGAGACACGGCCCAGACUCCUACGGGAGGCAGCAGUGGGGAAUAGUGGACACUGGGCGAAAGCCUGAUCCAGCAAUGCCGCGUGAGUGAUGAAGGCCUUAGGGUUGUAAAGCUCUUUUACCCGGGAUGAGAAUGACAGUACCGGGAGAAUAAGACCCGGCUAACUCCGUG